CAACCAACCCGGCACCCAAUCCCAAUCCAAACUUGCUAUUCUUCUUCGGUGGCUGUUGCACCGGUGGGUACCCAUAAGCCCCUGGUGGUGGAGGAGGAUACGCAUACCCCGGUGGAGGAGGUGGAUAUCCAUAUCCAGGCGGAGGCGGUCCCUGCGGUGGAUACCCACCAUAACCCGCCACUGCAUGCGGCGGCGGAGGAGGGUAUCCGUACCCAGCACCUUGUGGUGGUGGUGGAUAAGCCCCCGGACCACCAUACGGAACAGCAGAACUCGAUCCAGCCGCCACAUGCGCCGCUGGAUACGCAGUAACAGGCUGAUGAUGAGGAUGAUCGUCACCCUUAUUCUUUCCG
rnacentral:lncRNA from 1 species